CUGCCCGGAGUUAAACUUCGUUGAUGGUGCACUGCAAAGGCAGAGGCAAGGGAACAAAGUCUCUAAUAGUGGUCAGAACAAUUUGCAGAAAGCUCAUUUUCCCCUUUAUUCUGGUUUAUACCUCAGAGGCAAAGAUGGGCUGUCUGAGGACAGACAGGAAAUGUGACUCAAGCUAAGGAUCCAGCCCCAACCUGCCAUCCCUCCUUGCUUCUUCUCACGGAUUCUUUGAAAUUCUUUGAAAGAAUUGGGACAGAGGAAAGAAGAAGGGGAGGGAAGAGGGAAACGAAGUCCUAUGCAGCCAGAGCUCAGCCUGCUGGGAGGUGGAGUGAGCUGGGGACUGCUGGGUAGAGUUGGAAACCUGGGCCACAAAGGAAAGAAGUCAAGGCUGAUCUGCUGAGACUCUUUGCUGUAACAUGUGACCUGACAGCCAGCCCCAGCCACCAGACAUGUGAGUGACACCAUCUGAGACCAUCCAGGUCCAGUCCAUCUGCCAGAUAUCUGCGGCUAUAAUCCAGAUAUGGGGAGGAAGAAGAAGAAUUCUACAGAAGCUGCAGAUCCUGAGUGGAGCAAACAUGGAUGACCAUCAGCCAUGGGCCAAGUGCUAGAAUGCUAGAAUGCUAGAAAGCAGGAAAACACAAGAAAGUCAAAAGAGGAUAUUUAUCUGGGCUGAGAGGAUAAAGAAACACUAAAUCACUGAGCCUAGAAACAAAAUGAAGCAUCAGCAACUGUCUUAAGCAGCUCUGCCUUAACCCCUUCUCCAGCUGAACGCUUUUCACCAUAUCAUUGCUAUUCUUGAAUCCAGAACAUGGCUGCCAUGGCUUUUAGCCUUUGUAUGGAGGUCCAUUUGUCAGAACUUAGUUCCUUCUGGCUCACCUGGUUGAGCCUGGGGGUGUAGGCGGUUCUUGAGGGAAGCACAAGAUUUCCAUGGUGUCUGAGCUCCUGGUUUGCUAUUUCUCUCUGGUCAUAAGCUGAGCUGGACCCAAAUCUCUGUGCCCUUAUUUACCCUUUUGCCACAGCCUGCCCUUGCCUAGGACUGGGUCGGUGUCCUGGACUUCCUCCUGGGGAGGGAAUCCCCUCUCUUCCUGACCCCACAACCCCAUUUCUUAGAAAAGAGACUGACAGAAGUAGGUAAGCUGUAGAAGCAGAGAUGUGGACACCCUCUACCCCAUGGGUUUCUCUGAUCUGGAAGUCUGUGAGCCUUACCUCCUCCCUACCGUACUCCUGCCCCCACACUCUUUUCUGGAAAACAUUCCAGUUCUUAUUUAUGCCCAUCCAUAAAUAAGAAGUCCACACCCCAGGAAGACCAGUGGGGUUGGGAGCCCCUGGGGACUAUUGCCUGAUCAGACCAGGCUGGUCCCUACCGGGACACCCCUGGCUCAUUGGCAUGCCCACCCUGAUCAGACAGCUCCUGGCCUGGGGACCACGCUCCGGAUGCUUUCUGAUUCCUCUCUUUGGUGGCAUUCUUGUCACCUAUACUGGCUGCUGCACAGCAAUGGGGGCCACUGUCACUCAAGGCCCUGGGAACAUUCCACCCACAAAACCCCCUGAACUGCUACUGUCACUUGACCAUCCUACUCCUUCUCAAAAGCAAUUGCCACAUGGUCUACGUCCAUGGCAGGAACUCAGAAGAAGAUUAUUUGGCAGUAUAGACAGGUGACAAGAUGACAGGAGGAAUAUUUUUAUUCAGGUAGUAAAAUAAAAGAAAUGCCAGGGAGUAGAAGCUGAAUUAGCAAGAGGAGGGGAAGGGAAAGGAAGAGGAACAAAGGGAGGAUGAUGAAAGUGCUAGAAUAAGAGGGACACAGGCCUAGUGAGGACCCUGCCCUGGUACUCGAAAGAGCAGCUGGUCUACAGAAGCCUUGUCUUCAAAUUCUAGACCCAAGGGCAGAGGAGGAACUGGGCAGGCCCCAGAAAGCUUCUGAAUGUACUUAAUGACACUGAAUUGCACAUCUAAAAAUGAUCAAAUUGGGGGUGCCUGGGAGGCUCAGUUGGUUGGGCACCUGCCUUCGGCUCAGCUCAUGAUCUCAGGGUCCUGGGAUGGAGUCCCACAUGGGGGUCCCUGCUCAGCAAGGGCCUUCUUCUCUCUCUGCCUCUGCCUCCACCUCCCCCUGCCUCGUGCUCUUUCUUAUUCUCCCUCAAAUGAAGAAAUAAAAUCUUGAAUGAAUGGAUAAAUGAAUAAAUAAAUGUAUGUAAAAAUAAAUGUUAAAUAAAUAAAUAAAUAAAUAAGA